UUAUUGCGCCUCAAAUAAACAAUGAAUCAAAAUACGCAUUAUCGUAAUAGUAAGGCUAAUGAUCAACAAACAUAGCGGUGCAAGACCGGGUGAAUCAAAAGUCAUUGUACAGUCGUAAGAAUGUUAAGUAAAAACCCUUCAGUUAUUCUGGCCCACCCUGUAAAAAAAAUACGGGCACCUUAGACCCGAAAAUUCAAUAAAUACCAUACAAUGUUGCUAGCUAGCUAUCUAUAUCAGCUAUUGCUAUAGGAAUAUAUAAAUAGCUACUAUGUAACACAUCUCUUCGCUCAGGUGCUGCGUAUACUCGACAUAACCACUCACAUAUAAUUCUCAAGAAAUUCUUUUGAAAACAAAACAAAGUUUUAUUGUGAACAAAAUCGGUUGAUGCGAUUGUAGUUUCAAAGUGAUGGAAAUUGUUUAUAGUUGUGUUCACAUUAUGUUGUCAAACGAAAUAUUAUUAGAAGUUAAUGAAACAAGUGGAUCCAUUUCACUGAAAUUCAUAAAUUUGAUUCGUAGACAUGCACAAUUGUAUAUACAUAAUCCAUUUGACACGAAAAUGACCACCAUAAUGGGCCGAAACGUUACAUUUUUCAAAGUUAGAAUUUACUAAAAAAUUCUAAUCAAUCUAGGUAUCGUAUUGGGGGUGGAUUAUAUUUCUAAAUGCAGGGUCCUGUUAAUUGGAUCUGGCGCAGAUGAACUAUUUGGAGGCUAUACAAGACAUCGCAAUGCAUUUUUACGUGAAUACGACGAUGGAUUAACAUCAUUUGAACGCCUUGAAAAAGAAUUGGAAUUUGAUUUCAAGAGAUUGCCAAACAGAAAUUUGGCAAGAGAUGACCGUGUUAUUGCUGACCAUGGUGUUUCAAUUAGAGCACCAUAUAUUGAAGAAGUUUUCACACGCUUUAUUCGAUCAUUGAAACCAUUUCAAAAGUGUUAUCAUCAAUUGGAUCAAGGGAUUGGAGAUAAACUUCUUUUGCGCUUGUGUGGCUACCGUCUCGGGCUUCGAAGAGUGUCCGUAUUGAAGAAAAAAGCAAUGCAAUUUGGAUCUCGUAUUGCCGAUAGUAAACAGAAUGCAAAAGAAAUUUCCAAGUUACUUGUAUAAUAUACUGACGUCUUUAUUUUAUAAUUUUAUAACUAACCAACUGUAACUUGCCUUAUAUGUCGUGAAAAAUUAAUAAGAGGAUUAACAUGCAAAGUAAAUUUCAAUGCAUAUACCUUUAAAUAGGACGGAUAUCAAAAAAGUUAUUAUUUUAUGAGUGAAUAUUAUUGAACCUAUCUGGGAAUACAAAAAAUUGUUUCUCUUUCAAUUUGAACAAAUUUCAUCUAUAGAUGAAAUAUUUCAAGGCACACAUUCAUGAUAGUUUUUUUAAUUACGUUUUUGAUAUAAGACAUUAUAAUUUAUUUCUCUGCUUUAAUAACGAAGUACUACUUCUACUAAAUUUAUAUUUUAUGCAUUAAAUUAUAUAAAUUCCAAUAAAAAUCAUUCUUCAAAUUUUUUUGUUACAGAAA